AGCUAAAUCCGAAGCCUUUAAUGCACGCCCAGCAAAGGAGUCACAUGAUGGCACUACAAGAAAAAGGUCUGCUGGUGGCUGCCGCAAAUGCUCUAAAUGCAGAUCGAUAAUGCCAGUUUGGACCCAGAGAGCAGAGAGGACAAGAAGGCUGAGUCAGGAGGAGAUCCGGAAAGGCAGUGGUUCGAGAGGAAGGUGUGCAUACAGCUCCUCAGCCUACCUAUCCCCUCAGGCCCACACAAGGAUGCAGGAACCUAGCACACCUGAAAGGGAUCACACCCAUGGACAGGAAAUGUACAAAAAAAGCACAGUCGCCUUGGUGUGUGUAUAACUCGGCUGAAGUUCGUCUUGAUGUUCUCUCCGACCCACCGGUGCAGUGCUGUGUUUGAAGGCACCAGGCAAACUCAGGAAAGCAAUUCCCUCACGGCCAGGCUGCCUCUGUAACCCCAGCCGAGGUGACGUCACCAGGGGAGGAACCCAUCUGGGGGCUUGAGGGACUGAAGGAGCAACUAUUACCAGCCCUGGGGUGACACAGUGGCUUCUGAGCACCUGAGAGGUGGCUGAUGUGACCAGAGAACUGAACUUGUCAUUUUCUUAUAUGUUGAUUCACUUAAAUGUCUGCACACUGGAGAAUGGGAGGAAGCCCUGAAGGAUCCACAUAAGACAGUAAACAAACCAGCUAACAGGUGUGAGACUUCUCAGCUUCACCCAGUGACCGCCCGGCACUGUGCUCCCAAAGUCGCUUGGGGUCUGUCCAGUUGCUGGCAGGGCCCCUCCCCGAGACACCCAUCAGCAGCAGGACAUCCCCUCUCUUCAGUGGCCCUGGUGUGCAUUCCCCUGAGGAACCCCGCCCCAGCCGGAGUGACUUAUUAUGGCUGUGCACCGGCCACUGUGCCGGAC
ensembl:lncRNA